rnacentral:rRNA from 1 species
UACGAAGGGGGCUAGCGUUGCUCGGAAUCACUGGGCGUAAAGGGUGCGUAGGCGGGCCUUUAAGUCAGGGGUGAAAUCCUGGAGCUCAACUCCAGAACUGCCUUUGAUACUGAAGAUCUUGAGUCCGGGAGAGGUGAGUGGAACUGCGAGUGUAGAGGUGAAAUUCGUAGAUAUUCGCAAGAACACCAGUGGCGAAGGCGGCUCACUGGCCCGGUACUGACGCUGAGGCACGAAAGCGUGGGGAGCAAACAGG